rnacentral:pre_miRNA from 1 species
UUUCUACUCCCUCCGUCCGAAAAUACUUGUCAUCAAAAUGGAUAAAAAGAGAUGUAUCUAAAACUAAAAUACGUCUAGAUACAUUUCGUUUUAUCCAUUUUGAUGACAAGUAUUUCCGGACGGAGGGAGUAUUUG